UUAAUUCAAAUUUGUAUGGAGUUGGAACGUUUGCCCAUGUUUGCCGCUAGGGGCGCUGUUCCAACUGCAUACAAAUUUGAGUUA
rfam:Bombyx mori DNA, contig: Bm_scaf21_contig14967, strain: p50T/Dazao, build 2, whole genome shotgun sequence.